rnacentral:rRNA from 1 species
GCGACUGAACUGUCACUAGCUCAGCAUGUGAAUCAGCGUGCACUACAGUGAGCGCUGAAUUGUGGUCUUUUGGUUCUUGCAUCAACACGUCCAGUCCAUGUUUUUUGGAAUAAAACAGCAAAGAGGGUGAAACUCCCGUGUGACUGGACCAACGAAGCAAGCACUACUGAGUCGAGUUGUUUGGGAUUGCAGCUCAAAUACGGUGGUAAAUUUCAUCUCAAGCUAAAUACUGCAGGGAGACCGAUAGCGAACAAGUACCGUGAGGGAAAGAUGCAAAGAACUUUGAAAAGAGAGUGAAAGAGUACCUGAAAUUGCUGAAAAGGAAGCGAACGAACCUAGUGAAAGCAAUGUCAUACUUUCCAACUUGCUCGCAACUUGGACGCUGUGGCUUGCCAAGUUCCACUCCAUCGCACCUCCGCACUGCCUGCAAUGCAGUGGAACGAAAUAGAUUUGUUUGUCCCGUCUAGAAACACGGACCAAGGAGUCUAACAUAUGUGCGAGUACAAAGGCAGCAUGCCUUGGUGCGCAAUGAAAGUGUCAGAGGCUGGAAUGCUGUUACAGGCAGUGCACAGUCCGCCGGCCUCCAUCCCUCGGGAUUAUGGUCUGAGUGUGAGCAUACAUGUUGGGACCCGAAAGAUGGUGAACUAUGCUUGAGUAGGGUGAAGCCAGGGGAAACUUUGGUGAAGGCUCGCAGCGAUUCUGACGUGCAAAUCGAUCGUCAAACUUGAGUAUAGGGGCGAAAGACUAAUCGAACUAUCUAGUAGCUGG